GCUGUUGAUAGCUCAGUUGGUUAGAGCGUGGUGCUGAUGAUGCCAAGUUGCGGGUUCAAUCCCCAAACGGGACAGCU